rnacentral:rRNA from 1 species
GACGAACGCUGGCGGCGUGCUUAACACAUGCAAGUCGAGCGGUAAGGCCCUUUCGGGGGUACACGAGCGGCGAACGGGUGAGUAACACGUGGGUGACCUGCCCUCAGCUCUGGGAUAAGCCUGGGAAACCGGGUCUAAUACUGGAUAUGACUCCAUGACGCAUGUUGUGGGGUGGAAAGCCUUGUGCGGCUGAGGAUGGGCCCGCGGCCUAUCAGCUUGUUGGUGGGGUGAUGGCCUACCAAGGCGACGACGGGUAGCCGGCCUGAGAGGGCGACCGGCCACACUGGGACUGAGACGCGGCCCAGACUCCUACGGGAGGCAGCAGUGGGGAAUCUUGCGCAAUGGGCGAAAGCCUGACGCAGCGACGCCGCGUGAGGGAUGACGGCCUGGUGUAAC